CCUACGGGUGGCAGCAGUGAGGAAUAUUGGACAAUGGGCGAGAGCCUGAACGAGCCAAGUAGCGUGAAGGAUGACUGCCCUACGGGUUGUAAACUUCUUUUAUAAAGGAAUAAAGUGAGGCAAGUGUGUCUUUUUGAUUGUACUUUAUGAAUAAGGAUAGGCUAACUCCGUGCCAGCAGCCGCGGUAAUACGGAGGAUACGAGCGUUAUCCGGAUUUAUUGGGUUUAAAGGGAGCGUAGAUGGGUUGUUAAGUCAGUUGUGAAAGUUUUCGGCUCAACCGGAAAAUUGCAAUUGAUACUGGCAGUCUUGAGUACAGUUGAGGUAGGCGGAAUUCGUUGUGUAGCGGUGAAAUGCUUAGAUAUCUCGAAGAACUCCGAUUGCGAAGGCAGCUUACUAAUCUGCCACUGACAUUGAUGCUCGAAAGUGUGGGUAUCAAACAGGAUUAGAUACCCCAGUAGUC
rnacentral:rRNA from 1 species